AAAUGCGAUAAGUAAUGUGAAUUGCAGAAUUCAGUGAAUCAUCGAAUCUUUGAACGCACAUUGCGCCCGCCAGUAUUCUGGCGGGCAUGCCUGUUCGAGCGUCAUUUCAACCAUCAAGCCCCCGGCUUGUGUUGGGGACCUGCGGCUGCCCGCAGGCCCUGAAAACCAGUGGCGGGCUCGCUGUCACACCGAGCGUAGUAGCAUACAUCUCGCUCAGGGCGUGCUGCGGGUUCCGGCCGUUAAAAGCCUUUUUUACCCAAGGUUGACCUCGGAUCAGGUAGGAAGACCCGCUGAACUUAAGC
rnacentral:misc_RNA from 1 species